rnacentral:rRNA from 1 species
AAUUCCACGUGUAGCGGUGAAAUGCGUAGAGAUGUGGAGGAAUACCGGUGGCGAAGGCGGCCUUCUGGACAGAUACUGACGCUGAGAUGCGAAAGCGUGGGGAGCAAACAGGAUUAGAUACCCUGGUAGUCCACGCUGUAAACGAUGUCGAUUUGGAGUUUGUUGCCCUGAGUGAUGGGCUCCGAAGCUAACGCGAUAAAUCGACCGCCUGGGGAGUACGGCCGCAAGGUUAAAACUCAAAUGAAUUGACGGGGGCCCGCACAAGCGGUGGAGCAUGUGGUUUAAUUCGAUGCAACGCGAAGAACCUUACCUGGUCUUGACAUCCACAGAAUCUUGCAGAGAUGCGAGAGUGCCUUCGGGAACUGUGAGACAGGUGCUGCAUGGCUGUCGUCAGCUCGUGUUGUGAAAUGUUGGGUUAAGUCCCGCAACGAGCGCAACCCUUAUCCUUUGUUGCCAGCGAUUCGGUCGGGAACUCAAAGGAGACUGCCGUUGAUAAAGCGGAGGAAGGUGGGGACGACGUCAAGUCAUCAUGGCCCUUACGACCAGGGCUACACACGUGCUACAAUGGCGUAUACAAAGGGAGGCGACCUCGCGAGAGCAAGCGGACCUCAUAAAGUACGUCUAAGUCCGGAUUGGAGUCUGCAACUCGACUCCAUGAAGUCGGAAUCGCUAGUAAUCGUGAAUCAGAAUGUCACGGUGAAUACGUUCCCGGGCCUUGUACACACCGCCCGUCACACCAUGGGAGUGGGUUGCACCAGAAGUAGAUAGCUUAACCGCAAGGGGGGCGUUUACCACGGUGUGGUCCAUGACUGGGGUGAAGUCGUAACAAGGUAACCGUAGGGGAACCUGCGGUUG